rnacentral:rRNA from 1 species
GACGAACGCUGGCGGCGUGCCUAAUACAUGCAAGUUGAGCGCUGAAGGUUGGUACUUGUACCAACUGGAUGAGCAGCGAACGGGUGAGUAACGCGUGGGGAAUCUGCCUUUGAGCGGGGGACAACAUUUGGAAACGAAUGCUAAUACCGCAUAAAAACUUUAAACACAAGUUUUAAGUUUGAAAGAUGCAAUUGCAUCACUCAAAGAUGAUCCCGCGUUGUAUUAGCUAGUUGGUGAGGCAAAGGCUCACCAAGGCGAUGAUACAUAGCCGACCUGAGAGGGUGAUCGGCCACAUUGGGACUGAGACACGGCCCAAACUCCUACGGGAGGCAGCAGUAGGGAAUCUUCGGCAAUGGACGAAAGUCUGACCGAGCAACGCCGCGUGAGUGAAGAAGGGUUUCGGAUCGUAAAACUCUGUUGGUAGAGAAGAACGUUGGUGAGAGUGGAAAGCUCAUCAAGUGACGGUAACUACCCAGAAAGGGACGGCUAACUACGUG